UACGGAGGGUGCAAGCGUUGCUCGGAAUCACUGGGCGUAAAGCGUACGCAGGCGGCCUGUUAAGUCGGGUGUGAAAGCCCGGAGCUCAACUCCGGAACUGCAUUCGAUACUGGCAGGCUUGAGUACGGGAGAGGGAAGCGGAAUUCCUGGUGUAGAGGUGAAAUUCGUAGAUAUUAGGAGGAACACCAGCGGCGAAAGCGGCUUCCUGGCCCGAUACUGACGCUCAUGUACGAAAGCGUGGGGAGCAAACAGG
rnacentral:misc_RNA from 1 species